UACGUAGGGCGCAAGCGUUGUCCGGAAUCAUUGGAGCGUAAAGAGCGCGUAGGCGGUCCGGUAAGUCGGUUGUGAAAACUGGGGGGCUCAACCCUCGAGAGGCCGACCGAUACUGUCGGGCUAGAGUCCGGAAGAGGCGAGUGGAAUUCCUGGUGUAGCGGUGAAAUGCGCAGAUAUCAGGAGGAACACCAAUGGCGAAGGCAGCUCGCUGGGACGGUACUGACGCUGAGGCGCGAAAGCGUGGGGAGCGAACAGG
rnacentral:rRNA from 1 species